rnacentral:rRNA from 1 species
UACGUAGGGGGCUAGCGUUGCCCGGAUUUAUUGGGCGUAAAGAGCGUGUAGGCGGCCAGAUAGGUCUGCUGUGAAAACUCGAGGCUCAACCUCGAGAUGUCGGCGGAAACCAUUUGGCUAGAGUCCGGAAGAGGAAAGUGGAAUUCCUGGUGUAGCGGUGAAAUGCGCAGAUAUCAGGAAGAACACCCGUGGCGAAGGCGGCUUUCUGGGACGGUACUGACGCUGAGACGCGAAAGCGUGGGGAGUGAACAGG